AUGGACGUCUUGCCUUUGCCAAAGAGACCUACCAGGGACUGGUCGGAGCUGCCUUUUGACACCCUCUAUUCAAUUUUUGCCAAUCUAGGGGUCGUUGAUCUUCUUAUGGGUGCGGGCCUUGUUUGCCACUCAUGGCUGAAGGUGGCCAAGGAGCCUGAUCUAUGGCGAAUCGUGCACAUGCAGCACCACGAGAUCGUCGGCAUGGACACAAAUGAUUUGCGGGCAAUGUUGAACGUGGAUAUUGACCGUUCUGAUGGGCGGAUGGAGGUGUUUGUGGGAGAGUAUUUUCUUACUGAUAAGCUCCUCAAGUACACAGCGGACAGGUAA
rnacentral:rRNA from 1 species